AUUGCACUCAGAUAUCUCUUUAAAAAGGCCGAUAUACAGGUUGCUGCUGUUGAUCAUCAUUAUACUAGUAUACCUAUUACAGAGUACUGGGUGGAUGAAGCAAACAAGGUGACUGAAGAAGACAUAACAAAGAUUGAAAAAGAAACAAGACAACAAGCAUCAUGCAAACUAUGGUUUCAUCAUAGAUCCUGG